UACGGGGGGGGCAAGCGUUGUUCGGAAUUACUGGGCGUAAAGGGCUCGUAGGCGGCCAACUAAGUCAGACGUGAAAUCCCUAGGCUCAACCUAGGAACUGCGUCUGAUACUGGAUGGCUUGAAUCCGGGAGAGGGAUGCAGAAUUCCCGGUGUAGCGGUGGAAUGCGCAGAUAUCGGGAGGAACACCCGUGGCGAAGGCGGGUCCCUGGGACGGUACUGACGCUGAGACGCGAAAGCGUGGGGAGCGAACAGG
rnacentral:rRNA from 1 species